GUUACCAGCAUGACUGAGAGCCUGCAGAAAGCUUUUCAUAAACUCUGCUGUAAGGAAGAGGAUUUCAAGAUCACAGACCAAGGACAUGGUGAUGGUGGUAACUGCUCCCCUCUCACAAGCCUGGGGGUCCUUUAUAACCUGCCACAUUAUUCCGGGGAGCUUGACGCAGACAAGGACGCUCUCUCAUCAUUGAUACUCCCCCAGCUCUUCACCCAGUAGCCAACUAACAGUAAAUGCU
rnacentral:lncRNA from 1 species